ensembl:lncRNA
GCUUCUGGCCCUGGCUGGGUGAAUCCUCCCAGCAGUCGCUUGCAGCUGAGUACAGUGCAGGACAUGGAGGCUGUGCCCUGGAGGACAGCAUGGAGGACUCCUGGCCUCCCUGAUCCCACCGCAGCAGAUACAAGCAGAGAAGCUGUUCUGACGACGUGGGAAGAUGCCGUUUCUGAGGCAGCCAGGGCUCUCAGCAGCCUGCAUUAUUUCUGGCGGGACUGUCAGUUCUCCAAGCACCACUACCUCAUUUUUAACGCAGAUCUGUUGGAAGACAUUUGGUCCAUCCUGCUUUUGUCAGCCACGGGCAGCAAAGUAGCCAUGGAGAGGCUGUGUGGAGAGACCACCACUCCAUGCCCUGGAGCCGAUGCCAGCAGCAGCCUGCUGUGUGCGCCGGGGGACAGAGAGCCCCAGCAGGCAGCCCAGCGCCCCGGGGAGAAGCCCGACCCCCACACAGGCAGCACGUGGGGGCACCGCGCUCCCACGGAGGCCACCUGUCCGGCUGCACACGCACACGUUUACCUUUGCUGGGCCGUACUUGAGGCCAGCCGGGCAGCGCACAGCUGGUGAGGGCAGGCUGCAUUGAACGCCCGAAGCUGCAAGUGGAAAAGUCGUCGCCCCGGCAGUAGCGAGGUGAGUUUGUGCCAGCACAGAGCCUGGGGGCAGGCGGCGAUGGCUGAGUGCUGCUGGAGCAGGGCUCGUAAAGGUGGGCAGCAGCACUUCUGAGGCAGACGGGCGUCUGCGGAGAGCAGCCAGCCGAAAACGGGAGCCAGCCCGCCCGCUUUUCUCGUAGGAGCGGCGACACGCGUGUUUCCGUGAGAGUAACA